UGUGAGGGUUGCUGGAGGUAUCAGAAGUGCGAAUGCUGACAUAAGUAACGAUAAAGCGGGUGAAAAGCCCGCUCGCCGGAAGACCAAGGGUUCCUGUCCAACGUUAAUCGGGGCAGGGUGAGUCGACCCCUAAGGCGAGGCCGAAAGGCGUAGUCGAUGGGAAACGGGUUAAUAUUCCCGUACUUGGUGUUACUGCGAAGGGGGGACGGAGAAGGCUAUGUUGGCCGGGCGACGGUUGUCCCGGUUUAAGCGUGUAGGUGUGUGUUCCAGGUAAAUCCGGUUCACUUUAACACUGAGGCGUGACGACGAGGCACUACGGUGCUGAAGCAACAAAUGCCCUGCUUCCAGGAAAAGCCUCUAAGCAUCAGGUAACAUCAAAUCGUACCCCAAACCGACACAGGUGGUCAGGUAGAGAAUACCAAGGCGCUUGAGAGAACUCGGGUGAAGGAACUAGGCAAAAUGGUGCCGUAACUUCGGGAGAAGGCACGCUGACACGUAGGUGAAGUGAUUUACUCAUGGAGCUGAAGUCAGUCGAAGAUACCAGCUGGCUGCAACUGUUUAUUAAAAACACAGCACUGUGCAAACACGAAAGUGGACGUAUACGGUGUGACGCCUGCCCGGUGCCGGAAGGUUAAUUGAUGGGGUCAGCGCAAGCGAAGCUCCUGAUCGAAGCCCCGGUAAACGGCGGCCGUAACUAUAACGGUCCUAAGGUAGCGAAAUUCCUUGUCGGGUAAGUUCCGACCUGCACGAAUGGCGUAAUGAUGGCCAGGCUGUCUCCACCCGAGACUCAGUGAAAUUGAACUCGCUGUGAAGAUGCAGUGUACCCGCGGCAAGACGGAAAGACCCCGUGAACCUUUACUAUAGCUUGACACUGAACAUUGAGCCUUGAUGUGUAG
rnacentral:rRNA from 1 species